AACGCGAAGAACCUUACCUGGGCUCGAAAUGUAGUGGACCGGGGUGGAAACAUCCCUUCCCCGCAAGGGGCUGCUAUAUAGGUGCUGCAUGGCUGUCGUCAGCUCGUGUCGUGAGAUGUUGGGUUAAGUCCCGCAACGAGCGCAACCCUCGUCCUCUGUUGCUAACAGGUUAGGCUGAGCACUCUGAGGAAACUGCCGGUGAUAAGCCGGAGGAAGGUGGGGAUGACGUCAAGUCCUCAUGGCCCUUACAUCCUGGGCUACACACGUGUUACAAUGGCGGUGACAAUGGGUCGCGAUCGCGCAAGCGCUAGCUAAUCCCAAAAAGCCGCCUCAGUUCGGAUUGUACUCUGCAACUCGAGUGCAUGAAGCUGGAAUCGCUAGUAAUCGCGGAUCAGCACGCCGCGGUGAAUACGUUCCCGGGCCUUGUACACACCGGUACUA
rnacentral:rRNA from 1 species